ACGGGUGAGUAACACGUGGGCAACCUGCCUGUAAGACUGGGAUAACACCGGGAAACCGGUGCUAAUACCGGAUAAUUCUUUCCCUCUCAUGAGGGAAAGCUGAAAGUCGGUUUCGGCUGACACUUACAGAUGGGCCCGCGGCGCAUUAGCUAGUUGGUGAGGUAACGGCUCACCAAGGCGACGAUGCGUAGCCGACCUGAGAGGGUGAUCGGCCACACUGGGACUGAGACACGGCCCAGACUCCUACGGGAGGCAGCAGUAGGGAAUCUUCCGCAAUGGACGAAAGUCUGACGGAGCAACGCCGCGUGAGUGAUGAAGGCCUUCGGGUCGUAAAACUCUGUUGUUAGGGAAGAACAAGUACCGGAGUAACUGCCGGUACCUUGACGGUACCUAACCAGAAAGCCACGGCUAACUACGUGCCAGCAGCCGCGGUAAUACGUAGGUGGCAAGCGUUGUCCGGAAUUAUUGGGCGUAAAGCGCGCGCAGGCGGUCCUUUAAGUCUGAUGUGAAAGCCCACGGCUCAACCGUGGAGGGUCAUUGGAAACUGGGGGACUUGAGUGCAGAAGAGGAAAGCGGAAUUC
rnacentral:rRNA from 1 species